CCGAGAAGCGUUGCAAGUUUGAUUGUUGUAUCUCAUAUGUGUCAGUGGGUGGCAGAGGAGAGAGAGGUUAUGUCUACACUCACACACCUCAACGAUUAAUAAUCUAAAAUUCCCUUACAAA
rnacentral:snoRNA from 1 species